AGUCCCUCGUCUCCUGCGCCUCCAAAUCAGCCGGCAGCUCUCCGCGGCUGGAUCAGCUGUCGCUGCCCAAGCUGAGGGAGAGCAACAUCUGCUACGAGCUGGGCCGGCCGGAGGAAUCGAUCUGGACUGUUUCAAGAGCUGCAAAGAGAUCCACAGCGAGUCCUCGUGUUGAAACCCUGGCAGCACCGAAGCAACUUUCCAGGGACUACAUCCCUCCACGGGAGCCGGAGUGGAGCAGACGAAGCCUCCCGCCCGCCUGAGCUUCGCCUGACGUCGCGUCCAAGUCAGUGUCCGUCGAGCUCUGAAAAACGGCGACAGACAAAGCUGUCAAACUUUAAAAAAAAAACGGGCAAAAUGUUUCGUGAGGAGUUGAGAAACAUGUCAUCUUGUGUUUGAGAAACUGUGUUUGGCAGGCGAGCGGCGUUGUGAAGCCUGGACUGUCUUUGUCCUUUCCCGGCGAGUGUUUGACAGAUGGAGACGGGGAGGAAGUGGCCAAGUCUCGGCUGAAGAUUCGGGACUUGCAGUUUGAGCCCAAACCCGCACAUUAUUUCACACACGGCAAACUCUGAGUGUCAAGUUGUUCUAGUCAUAAAUCUGUAAUAAACGUUGUGUUUUGGUUUGA